rnacentral:lncRNA from 1 species
GUGGUAUAUAGCUCCUAAUGUAGAAUUUCAGUUUGUUUAUGCCCCAUUUAGAGCUAUUAAGGCUUGACUGAUUUGUAAUGGGAUUGUAUUCCAGGUACAACUCAUUCAAUGACAGAAAUUGGGAUGUGGUUUCUGAAUCUUAUAUGACUCAGGAAUGUGAGAAUUGUGAAAUUGGCUCAGUAAGCUGAG